CUGGGACAGAUACCUGCAGUAUAGGAAGGAAGGUGGAGUUAUACCAUACAUACUGUAGACUGACAGAUACCUGCAGUAUAGGAAGGAAGGUGGAGUUA